ensembl:lncRNA EPIC1 epigenetically induced MYC interacting lncRNA 1
CAGUCCGCCAUUGCAAACACGAAGCUCUUCCAGAAACGCCCUCACAGACACCCCGGAAGUCACGUACCCACUCUGUAGGUGCCCCGGGGCACAGGCAAGCGGACGAGCCAGUUAUCCCUCAGAGCUCCUGCUGCCUCGCCCGCUUUCUCUCGGAAACGUGAAGUGUGGCCUCAGCUGAAAGUGAGGUGGGCCUCAUUCAAUCAGUUGAAUUCUUCAAGAGAGAAAAACUGAAGUCCCUUAGAAGGAAAGAGUUCUGCCUUCAGACUGUCUUUGAACUUAAGACUGUAGCGUCGACUCCUGCCGGAAUUUCCAGCCUGCUGGCCAGCUCUGCAGAUUCACACUUGCCAGCCUCCACAAUCGAAGGCAGCCAUCUGUGAGCCAGAAAGUGAGCCCUCACCUGAUGGCCAAGCCUGCUGAUGCUUUGGUUUUGGACUUUCCAGCCUCCAGAAUGGAGAGGUGAAAGGGGGAGAGGCUGAAAAGUACAUGAAGAAAUAAUGGCUGAAAAUGACCCAAAUUGUUAAGAUACAUAAACCUGCAGAUUCAAGAAGCUGAAAGAUGCUCCAACAGGAUAAACCUAAAGAAAUCUAUGCCAACAUGCAUCAUAAUUAAACUUCUGCAAAGCAAAAAACAAAACAUUUCUGAAAACAGCCAGGGGAAAAGAACACCCAACCUGGAAGGGAAAAACAAUUCGAAUGACAGUGGAUUUGUCAUCAGAAACCAUGGAAGCCAGGAGGAAAUGACACAAUAUUUUUCAGCUACUAAGAGCAAAAAACUGUCAUCCCAAAAUUCUAUACCCAUAAAAAUAUCUUUCAAGAAGGAAGGAGAAAUGAAGACAUUCUCAGAUGAAGGAAAACUGAGAGAAUGUAUCAGCAGCAGACCUAUCCUAACAAAAUAGCUAAAAAGAGUUCUCUAAACAGAAAGGAAAUGAUAAAAAGGAACCUUACAACAUCAAGAAGAAAAAAUGAUGAGCAAA